rnacentral:rRNA from 1 species
AUACGUAGGGUGCAAGCGUUAAUCGGAAUUACUGGGCGUAAAGCGUGCGCAGGCGGUUUUGUAAGACAGUGGUGAAAUCCCCGGGCUCAACCUGGGAACUGCCAUUGUGACUGCAAGGCUGGAGUGCGGCAGAGGGGGAUGGAAUUCCGCGUGUAGCAGUGAAAAGCGUAGAUAUGCGGAGGAACACCGAUGGCGAAGGUGAUCCCCUGGGCCUGCACUGACGCUCAUGCACGAAAGCGUUGAGAGCAAACAGGAUUAGAUACCCUGGUAGUCCACGCCCUAAACGAUGUCAACUGGAUGUUGGGGAUUUAAUUUCUCAGUAACGAAGCUAACGCGUGAAGUUGACCGCCUGGGGAGUACGGCCGCAAGGUUAAAACUCAAAUGAAUUGGCGGGG